rnacentral:snRNA from 1 species
GUGCUUACUACAGCAGCACAUAAUACCAAAAUUGAAACGAUACAGAGAAGAUUAGCAUGACCCCUGCACAAGGACGACACACAACAACAAAAAUGACUCCAAUCUCUU